UGUUUGUAUAGUGUGUGUAUAUAAUGCAGUGUGUUUGUGUAGUGUGUUUAUAUAAUGCACACUACACAAACACACUGCAUUAUAUACACACACUAUACAAAC
rnacentral:miRNA from 1 species